rnacentral:rRNA from 1 species
UACGUAGGGGGCAAGCGUUGUCCGGAAUCAUUGGGCGUAAAGCGCGCGUAGGCGGCUCGAUCAGUCUGCUGUAAAAGUCAAAGGCUCAACCUUUGAAUGCCGGUGGAUACUGUCGAGCUAGAGUCCGGAAGAGGCGAGUGGAAUUCCUGGUGUAGCGGUGGAAUGCGCAGAUAUCAGGAGGAACACCAACGGCGAAGGCAGCUCGCUGGGACGGUACUGACGCUGAGACGCGAAAGCGUGGGGAGCGAACAGG